AGACACAGACAGAGACAGAGAGAGAGACACAGACAGAGACAGAGAGAGAGACACAGACAGAGACAGAGAGAGAGACACAGACAGAGACAGAGAGAGAGACACAGACAGAGACAGAGAGACACAGACAGACAGCGAUAGACAGAGACAUACACAGAGACAUACACAGACAGAUACACAAAGACAGACACAGAGAGACACACACAGAGACAGACAGAGACACAGAGAGACAGAUACACAGACAGAGAGACAGCAACAAAGACAGAGAGACAGACACAGAGAGACACAGAGACAGAGAGACUCAGAGACACGCAGAGACAGAUACACAGCGACAAAGACAGAGAGACACAAGAGACAGCUACACAGCGACAGAGAGACAGCGACAAAAACAGAGAGACAGGGAGACAGUGAGAAACAGCCACAGAGACACGCAUAGACACAGACAGACACAGAGACGCGGAAAGAGACAGAGACACAGAGACAAACUCACAGAUAAGCAUAGAUAGAGACACAGAUACACAUUUAUAUACACAGGCAAACACACAUACAGAGACACAAACAUUGAGUCGCAAAGGUAGAGAGACAUAUAGUAAAUACAGAGACGCAGACACGGAGAUAAAUUCAGAGACACGGGCAAAGACACACACCGUAGGUGAAGACAAAGACACGCAUAGACCAAGUCGUUUACCCAACAUAAGAUAGACAUAGACAAAUACGCACAGACGCACAUAGACAAAUGCACACAGAGUCACAAGAACAAACAUCCUCACAGGUAGACGCACAGGUAAGGUUAAGGUCGGCAGAGCCCGAUACCGAACGUGACCCGAACGUGACCUCGAGGCGCUGAAAGUGAAGAAGACUGGGCAGGCCCCUGGCGACUUCGUUGACCAAGGGCCAAGUUCACACACGAGGAUGACUUCUGUACUGGAGGACCCAAGCCUGGAGAGGCACUUCAAGGGCCACCGUGACACGAUUACCAGCGUGGACUUCAACCCCAACAUGAAGCAACUGGGCAAGUGUUGUGCCCAGUGUCCAAUCCUAAUCGAUAAUCUUUCGAACAGGAUCUAUCCACUGCUGGAUACAGGCCUUCCCAAACUGUUACCGUCGCUCACAGUCUUGCGAUGCGACAAUUCAUCUUUCCACAACAGAGAUUUUUGGGUUAGAUUGCGGGAAUAUAAAUGUGUCAUUAAACCCGCCACCACCAGAAAACUUCUGUUAUGGAUAAUUUUGGUCGCAAAAGCCUACAUAUUAAACCGACUAAUCCAUCUUUAGCGUGAACACGAAUAGAUUUCACCACUCCGUGUCCCUGGUAGACCUCCUCUCGGACAUGUCCAUUCUCUGUCUGUCAUUUUGUUGUUAGCCGCGACCAUCGGGCGUUAACCCUUCUGGCGGUGUGUCCUGAUCUGCCGGUAAAUUUUUUUUAAGAAUGCAUUAUGAAUGCUGUUCAAGCAGUGCACCGCAAUUGUCUGAGAAAUGGCUAUGGUGGAGAUUUUUCACAGGAUAAAAAAAUCCUUCAAGUAGUCUUUCUAUCCUUUAGACAGUAGGGGUUGAUGAGAUUGUUAAAUGUCAGUUACACUAAUUAUCGAAGCUGCCAAUUUAAACACGAAACUAAUUUUACUUAAUGAAUCGUGUGCAAUAAAAGGUGACCAGCCUGAGACCAUUGACCCAAUACUUGAAAACCCGGUUUAAUAAUGGGUGGCUACCCCCCGGAUUAAACACAGCCGCUUGCGGCGCUGACUUCAGAGACAUUUGGCCACCUUCCUCUCUGUUUUGUUAAGCGUGCCUGUGUGCAUGCGUGCGUGCGUUGCAGCGAGCGGUUCCAUGGACGCCUGUCUCAUGGUGUGGAACUUCAAGCCGCAGACGCGCGCAUACCGCUUUGUGGGCCACAAGGACGCUGUGAUGAGCGUGCAGUUCUCCCCGUCCGGCCACCUUGUCGUGUCGGCCUCACGCGACAAGACGGUCCGACUGUGGGUGCCCAGCGUGAAAGGAGAGUCGACGGUGUUCAAGGCGCACACGGCCACCGUGCGCAGCGUGAGCUUCUCGGCUGACGGGCAGUCUCUGGUCACCGCCUCGGACGACAAGUCCAUCAAAGUGUGGACAGUCCACCGCCAGAAAUUCCUCUACUCCCUCAACCAGCACUCCAACUGGGUCCGAAGUGCUAAAUUCUCACCCGACGGGCGGCUCAUCGUGUCGGGAAGCGACGACCGCACGGUGCGCGUGUGGGACUCGAAUAGCCGGGAGUGCGUGCACACCUUCUACGAGCACGGAGGCUUCGUGAACCAGGUGGACUUUCACCCGAGCGGGACGUGCAUCGCUGCUGCGGGCACGGACAACACGGUGAAGGUGUGGGACAUCCGCAUGAACAAGCUGCUGCAGCACUACCAGGUCCAUGGUGCGGCGGUGAAUUCCCUCUCCUUCCACCCGACCGGCAACUACCUCAUCACCGCCUCCAAUGACUCAACCCUCAAGGUGCUGGACCUGGUGGAGGGGCGCCUCUUCUACACCCUGCACGGCCACCAGGGCCCAGCCACAGCAGUGGCUUUCUCCCGUGCUGGGGAUUUCUUUGCAUCGGGAGGCUCCGACGAGCAGGUGAUGGUGUGGAAGACAAACUUUGACUCCGUGGAUUACUCGGAGGUUCUGAGGAGCCACAAGCAGAGGGCAAACCCUGACCCACCACCCUACGUCCACGACAUCCCACCUCGCUCCCCACGUCCCCACAGCCAAAGCGCCAACAGCAUUCAGAUCCAUUCCAGCUUAGAGCCAGUGGACACUGUGUCUGGGAAUCCAGAAGUAGUUGAACUGGGCCCCUCCGUGUUUUCUCUUUGUAAGGGCAACAAGUCCGGGUACGCUGGCGCGGCAGCCGAGGUCUCGGAGCCGUCGGGCCGACCCCGCGGGCAGCAGCCUCGCCGGCCCGUGACGGCGGGCGGCGCACGCCAGCAGCCGGGCUUGGGCACGGGCGCUAGCAGCCAGCACCAGGAUGUACGCAGCACGAGCGGUGGUGGACAGAGGCUGUCGCAACACAGACUAUCCACGGUCGGGAGGAGCACGGUGCUGGUGCCGCCGGGACCAACGGCUUCCACGCGGAGGGGAGCGGCAGCGGCCCCGUGAGUCGGCCGCUCGAGGACAGAGCGGGGAUCCCCGCGGCGCUCGUCAACACGUUCGAGCACAUCGUCACGCAGCUCGACAUCCUCACGCAGACGGUGUCCAUCCUGGAGCAAAGGCUGACGAUGACGGAAGACAAGCUCAGGGAGUGUCUGGAGGCCCAGCAGCACAGCCACGCUCGCGAGUGAAGCUCCCUGCCUCCCCACGCUCGCCCCCUCCCCCCCGUCUCUCUCGCGGCGUGCGUCGCGUUGUCCGCCUUCAGGUUGUGAAAACGUCAGGAAGUUUUCGUUUUGUUUUAUUCGUCAAAUUGUCAACUUUUAAAAGUUAGGUAGCAACAAAGGAGGGGUAAGCGUCGUGUUCCAUUUUAUUGUUUUCUUUUUUUUUUAUCAAAAAGGACACCACUGGAAAUUCACCUAAGCAGUGGUAACGUUUCCUUGCGAUGGUUUUAAAGUUUUGUGGUUUGCAGUAUGCGUACGCACUUUUAAUGGCCUUUAAUACGACCACUCAGAAUGAAGAGCAACCAUAUGGUGCCAUGUGUCCUGCACAUGGAGAGAGUGAGGUUGCUGGGCUAGUGCAGCCCCAAGUUUGCUGGUGCACGUCAUGCCAGUGGUGUGAAAUUGUUCCCGACAAUCAUUUGUGGCGGUAACAUCUUCUUUAAAACGCCAGCUCCAUACAGAUAUGACUUCGAGCAGUGAGGCUUACGCAUAAAAGGUGGGGGGGGGGUAAUUUUUUAGUAAAUGUUUCCAGUAAGCAUUCUUUUAGGUUAUUAGUUUAAAUUGGCACUGGAUACAGUGAUGAGGCACUCGUGCACAAUUUCCUGGCCUACGUCACAUUGUGGACUCUUAUUUGGAAAUUGAAGUGGAUGCUUCUGGGUUUGACUGUCCACUUGUACUGAGCAAGGAACACAAAUUGUUUGAAAUGGCUUUGUGCUCUUCAUUGCACCCGGGCAAGAAAUCAACAUAGCCAAGGUCCGCUGUGCGGCAAGGAGGUCGGUGACAAGGCUGGAGUUAUGUUUUAGAUUACAUUGUUGUCCACGUUGUGUUUCGUGCAUUCACCAACCACCUAUGCCAUACUAGGCCUUUCAAGAAUAAGGGCUUUAUAUUCGUCUUGAAGCUCCUGGUUAAACAUGUCAGGGUACCUGUGCUCAUAUGAGCGAUCGGUGGUUUUCAUCUCCAUCGCUUCCCACCAAGUGAUGCAUAGCUAGUUCUGGUGACCAUUUCAGAGACUUGAUGGGUUGAUCCCAGCUGGGAUUCAAACUCAUGAUUUCACAAGUUAGGGCCCGGUCCACUCCUAUAAGCUGAACUGUGCUUCGACUGUUUGCAUAGAUUAGUGGCCAAUAAAUCUUUGAGCACACAGAACUGUUUCCCAAAGGACAACUCUAAGCUCACCAAUGAUCAGUUGUAUAUAUUUGUCAAAAUAUUUGCAACGUAAUGGUUUGUGUGCACAGAUGAUAUUUGUGCUGUGUACAUUUUACAAUAAUCUUUUGGGAGUUAUUUCUUUUAAAAAAACGUGUUUUACCCUUGUCUUUUGUAAAGAUUUUCUUAUUUUGCUGUGCUAAUGCGUUUCACCUCGUGGCAUUUAGAAGAUUUGUCUAAAGUAUCUUUGAUAAAUAAAAUAUUUGUCGUAACUUUAA